rnacentral:rRNA from 1 species
GAUGAACGCUGGCGGCGUGCCUAAUACAUGCAAGUCGAGCGAACGGACGAGAAGCUUGCUUCUCUGAUGUUAGCGGCGGACGGGUGAGUAACACGUGAAUAACCUACCUAUAAGACUGGGAUAACUUCGGGAAACCGGAGCUAAUACCGGAUGAUAUUUUGAACCGCAUGGUUCAAAAGUGAAAGACGGUCUUGCUGUCACUUAUAGAUGGAUCCGCGCUGCAUUAGCUAGUUGGUAAGGUAACGGCUUACCAAGGCAACGAUGCAUAGCCGACCUGAGAGGGGGAUCGGCCACACUGGAACUGAGACACGGUCCAGACUCCUACGGGAGGCAGCAGUAGGGAAUCUUCCGCAAUGGGCGAAAGCCUGACGGAGCAACGCCGCGUGAGUGAUGAAGGUCUUCGGAUCGUAAAACUCUGUUAUUAGGGAAGAACAUAUGUGUAAGUAACUGUGCACAUCUUGACGGUACCUAAUCAGAAAGCCACGGCUAACUACGUG